CGAGCGGAACUAUUUUUCGCGGAGUUGGCGUCUAGUCGGACCUAAAUGCCGCAGGAAACGGGAGCGCCGCGGUUUGGGGGAGGAGUCCGGGGCUGGUACGAAGUUCCGCGAGACCUUUGAACAGUUUUGGCGUCCGAGGUGAAGAGCGAAAGCAUAACUUCAAGAUACUGCAGUUUUGGUUCCAGACCACCGGGAUAAAAGAUACAUCUCUGGUGCCUUCAUCCCUUUUAGAACUGCAGAAGGUGCUCCAGGGGGCUAGUACAAAGCACAGAGCCUGGAAGUCUGGAGACUCCGGUCCUAGUCACAGAUCUUUUACUCUUAAUGUAAGUGACUUUCUUCUAAAUAUGUACCUGGUGGACUUCCCUGGUGGCGCAGUGGUUAAGAAUCCACCUGCCAAUGCAGGGGACACAGGUUCGAGC